GUAACAAGGUUUCCGUAGGUGAACCUGCGGAAGGAUCAUUACUGAGUGCGGGCUGCCUCCGGGCGCCCAACCUCCCACCCGUGACUACCUAACACUGUUGCUUCGGCGGGGAGCCCUCUCGGGGGCGAGCCGCCGGGGACUACUGAACUUCAUGCCUGAGAGUGAUGCAGUCUGAGUCUGAAUAUAAAAUCAGUCAAAACUUUCAACAAUGGAUCUCUUGGUUCCGGCAUCGAUGAAGAACGCAGCGAACUGCGAUAAGUAAUGUGAAUUGCAGAAUUCAGUGAAUCAUCGAGUCUUUGAACGCACAUUGCGCCCCCUGGCAUUCCGGGGGGCAUGCCUGUCCGAGCGUCAUUGCUGCCCAUCAAGCCCGGCUUGUGUGUUGGGUCGUCGUCCCCCCCGGGGGACGGGCCCGAAAGGCAGCGGCGGCACCGUGUCCGGUCCUCGAGCGUAUGGGGCUUUGUCACCCGCUCGAUUUAGGGCCGGCCGGGCGCCAGCCGACGUCCAACCAUUUUUCUUCAGGUUGACCUCGGAUCAGGUAGGGAUACCCGCUGAACUUAAGCAUAUCAAUAAGCGGAGGAAAAGAAACCAACCGGGAUUGCCCCAGUAACGGCGAGUGAAGCGGCAAGAGCUCAAAUUUGAAAUCUGGCCCCUCCGGGGUCCGAGUUGUAAUUUGCAGAGGAUGCUUCGGGUGCGGCCCCUGUCUAAGUGCCCUGGAACGGGCCGUCAGAGAGGGUGAGAAUCCCGUCUUGGGCAGGGUGCCCGUGCCCGUGUGAAGCUCCUUCGACGAGUCGAGUUGUUUGGGAAUGCAGCUCUAAAUGGGUGGUAAAUUUCAUCUAAAGCUAAAUACCGGCCGGAGACCGAUAGCGCACAAGUAGAGUGAUCGAAAGAUGA
rnacentral:misc_RNA from 1 species